GAUGAACGCUGGCGGCGUGCCUAAUACAUGCAAGUCGAGCGAACGGACGAGAAGCUUGCUUCUCUGAUGUUAGCGGCGGACGGGUGAGUAACACGUGGAUAACCUACCUAUAAGACUGGGAUAACUUCGGGAAACCGUAGCUAAUACCGGAUAAUAUUUUGAACCGCAUGGUUCAAAAGUGAAAGACGGCCUUGCUGUCACUUAUAGAUGGAUCCGCGCUGCAUUAGCUAGUUGGUAAGGUAACGGCUUACCAAGGCAACGAUGCAUAGCCGACCUGAGAGGGUGAUCGGCCACACUGGAACUGAGACACGGUCCACACUCCUACGGGAGGCAGCAGUAGGGAAUCUUCCGCAAUGGGCGAAAGCCUGACGGAGCAACGCCGCGUGAGUGAUGAAGGUCUUCGGAUCGUAAAACUCUGUUAUUAGGGAAGAACAUAUGUGUAAGUAACUGUGCACAUCUUGACGGUACCUAAUCAGAAAGCCACGGCUAACUACGUG
rnacentral:rRNA from 1 species